AUUGAACGCUGGCGGCAGGCCUAACACAUGCAAGUCGAACGGUAACAGGAAGAAGCUUGCUUCUUUGCUGACGAGUGGCGGACGGGUGAGUAAUGUCUGGGAAACUGCCUGAUGGAGGGGGAUAACUACUGGAAACGGUAGCUAAUACCGCAUAACGUCGCAAGACCAAAAAGGGGGACCUUCGGGCCUCUUGCCAUCGGAUGUGCCCAGAUGGGAUUAGCUAGUAGGUGGGGUAACGGCUCACCUAGGCGACGAUCCCUAGCUGGUCUGAGAGGAUGACCAGCCACACUGGAACUGAGACACGGUCCAGACUCCUACGGGAGGCAGCAGUGGGGAAUAUUGCACAAUGGGCGCAAGCCUGAUGCAGCCAUGCCGCGUGUAUGAAGAAGGCCUUCGGGUUGUAAAGUACUUUCAGCGGGGAGGAAGGGAGUAAAGUUAAUAACUUUGCUCAUUGACGUUACCCGCAGAAGAAGCACCGGCUAACUCCGUG
rnacentral:rRNA from 1 species